UACGUAGGGUGCGAGCGUUAAUCGGAAUUACUGGGCGUAAAGCGUGCGCAGGCGGUUCGUUGUGUCGGCGGUGAAAGCCCCGGGCUUAACCUGGGAAUGGCCGUCGAAACUGGCGAACUGGAGUGUGGCAGAGGGGGGUGGAAUUCCGCGUGUAGCAGUGAAAUGCGUAGAGAUGCGGAGGAACACCGAUGGCGAAGGCGGCUUCCUGGUCUGCAACUGACGCUGUGGCGCGAAAGCUAGGGGAGCAAACGGG
rnacentral:rRNA from 1 species